AUGAAGCAUGAUAAGCAAGCGGAGGAGGAUCAUGAAGAGGUGGAAGAGGACGAGGAGGAGGACGAGGAAGAGCAAGAUACUUUGUUUGAGGUGCCGCCUGGGGUUGGUGACAAAUCAGAUUCAGAUGGGUUUGUGGAUAGUGAAGAAGAAGCCUUCGAAGGUGAUAAGCAAGUGAAGAAGAAGCCUUCGAAGAAAUGGUCGAAGCCUUGGUGUGUGGUGCUAGUUAUAUCAAAGGUUCUCACAAGGACUUCAAUGUGGUGGAGAGGGAUGAAGAUGAGGAGGACGAUGUUGAGAAUAUCAAGUUGCCCAAGAUUGUUGAUGUGGGGGGUGACAACAAUUGAUAUUCGCCAUGUGGGUGUUGCUCUUGAUAUUUUGAAGAUGGAUGUCUACAUGAUCUUCUCAUGUGGAUUGUUGAGGUCAACGUGA
rnacentral:rRNA from 1 species